rnacentral:rRNA from 1 species
GAUGAACGCUGGCGGCGUGCCUAAUACAUGCAAGUCGAGCGAACAGACGAGGAGCUUGCUCCUCUGACGUUAUCGGCGGACGGGUGAGUAACACGUGGAUAAACUAACUCUAAGACUGGGAUAACUUCAGGAAACCGGAGCUAAUACCGGAUAAUAUAUUGAACCGCAUGGUUCAAUAGUGAAAGACGGUUUUGCUGUCACUUAUAGAUGGCUCCGCGCCGCAUUAGCUAGUUGGUAAGGUAACGGCUUACCAAGGCAACGAUGCGUAGCCGCCCUGAGAGGGGGAGCUGCCACGCUGGAAUUGAGGGACGGUCCAGACUCCUGCGGGAGGCAGCAGUAGGGAAUCUUCCGCAAUGGGCGAAGGCUGGACGAAGCAACGCCGCGCGAGUGAUGAAGGUCUUCGGAUCGUAAAACUCUGUUAUUAGGGAGGAACGAAUGUGUAAUUAACUAUGCACGUCUUGACGGUACCUAAGCAGAAAGCCACGGCUAACUACGUU